GUCCCAGCCGUAAACGAUGCUCACCAGGUGUGGGAGGUAUCGACCCCUUCCGCGCCGACGCUAACGCAUUAAGUGAGCCGCCUGGGGAGUACGGCCGCAAGGUUGAAACUCAAAGGAAUUGACGGGGGCCCCGCACAAGCGGUGGAUCAUGUGGUUUAAUUCGACGCAACGCGAAGAACCUUACCUGGGCUUGAAGUGCUGGAAGUAGGCUCCUGGAAACAGGAGACGAACCGUCAAAUCGGUUACCAGCAGAGGUGCUGCAUGGCUGUCGU
rnacentral:rRNA from 1 species